rnacentral:lncRNA from 1 species
CCCAUUUGUGAAGUUCCAUCACAGGAAGUUCUUCUCCAGUGGCCCCUGAUCCAGGGAGACCCACCCUGCAACAGCCCUUGUCUCCCUCCGCCCUUGGUUCCUUCUCACCCAUCUCACCACCAUCUGCCCAGGGGAGCCACAUGUCCCAAAUUUUGGAGAGAAAAUAAUUGAGGCUCAUUUCCAGGACAGAGGGGCAAGCUGGGUCUAAAGAGCCAAGCAGAAAGGCUUCCCAAAAUCGCUAGGUUGGGAGGGGUCAGAGACGUGUGGCUGCCCCAGCUGUUCUGACUCUGCCCCAGCUUUUGGCUCCACCCCCUUAAAGCACCUUCAGAGGUUCCCAUGGCGACAGUAAACAAGUCUCCACUGCCUUGGCCAUGUGCUGUGUUCACCCCACUCCUGAUCUUGUUGGCUGCUCAGGGGCUGACAGCCCAGAUGUGCAGCUGUGAUGAGCAGAAACAGGGAGGAAUGGAGCCCCCAGGUGAGCGGCGAUUAUCCUGUUGAUCUUGAUUUUGUGGUGCC